CUGGACGACCAGAUCAUCCGGAACGCGCCCGAUCUCGUCAGCUCUCGGAAGCUAAGCAGGUUUGUGCAUGUAUAGUGCUUAAAAUUGGCGACCACGAUACACAGAACGGGCGCUGUACACU
rnacentral:rRNA from 1 species